CGGACAAAUAUCUGGUCAGAAAAAUGGUCAGGGUGCUACAAUUACCGACUAAGUCCAAACCAAACCGGUUCAGUUUUGGUAAACCAUGUUCUUGAAAUUCCUCUAUAUAAAGUGACUAUCCCCAUGCAUCUUGAAUAAUAUAUAUAUAUACGAGGCUUAAUUGAUAGAGAGAGAGGAAGAAAGAAAAGAAAAUCAAAGGAAGUUACACAUAAGAAGUACAUCAUCAACAAUGGUUUCCAACAACAUUGCUGUGGCAGUAAAGAUUAUGAUUAUGCUCCUAUUUCUCCUGUUAGGAGCUUUGCCGGCGGCGACGGCAGCAAGACCCUCCGCGGCGGCCGGUUUAUCGACCGGGAAGUUGCUCGACAGUAAGUACUUCACCUUAUUUUUCUUACAGUGAUAUUCCAAAGUUCGAAUCAUUCAACGAAAUAUAUGCCUUGUAGUCUGAUUGUGGUUCGUAAUUUUAGGUGAUGGGCCGCUCGGAGGAAAUCAUCAAAGGCGAUGAACUGAGGAGGCCUACUUUCAAGCCGGGAAUGACGUCGUUUUGAUAGAAUAAAUGAAGUUGAAUGUUAUUUUGUGUGCUGAACUAUUAUUAUAUAUUAAUAAUGAAUGGAUUAUGGAUCAAUACAAUAUGUGGUUACUGGUUAAUUAAUCAGUAUAUAGUGAACGUUUUGGUAAUGUAUCGAUAUUUUUUAUACUAAAAAUCCUACAUUUUAAUUCAAUAUUUAAGAAAUAAAUUCUAGCUAAACUCUUUA
rnacentral:lncRNA from 1 species